GGGAGUUCCACGCGCGAGCUUGUGGGUUUGAAUUACCUGGAGAGGGAAGGGCGGAAGGGCCGAGACGCGAAGCGACCGCGAGCAUGUGGAAGACGAACGGACGGGGGAAAGGGAAAGGAAUAGAGAAAAAGAGACAGCGAGGUCGAGCAAGCCGGCCGAAGCUGCAAGCAGUCUAAAACUGUCUGAGUCCAGGAAAGCAUGCUGCCGGGACUUAGACCAAUUUUGCUCUGCAAGUUUACCUUGCUCUAAGUGCCAGUUUCUCAAUUAGUUACUCCUAAGUGUAAUGUUCCAAGUGCAAGUGCAUCUCGUACCAUCAUGUUUGAUCCUGAUAAAAUAAUACAGUGUCAACUGUGUCACAACUGUGUCUCGUCAGUUGUCUCGUCAGUUUGUGGAAAAGAGAAAUGCAUCGAAGACCACGCGUGAAAUAAUCUACGCACAAACAUAAACCCGGCUGGACCCACCGACAAUGUGUGUACGCGGAACAAUGUGUUCGACGGAUGCCACUACCGCCACCAACGCAUACCUCACACACAGCCAACGCUGCAUAGCGCCAGGAAUGCACGAAUA